rnacentral:lncRNA from 1 species
ACCUCCUUCAGGUCAAUGGAUUUGGGGCCACCAUGUUUUUCGUAGAUAUGAUGCCUGCCAUAAUCAGAGAAACAAAAGGAAGAUUACAUCAGAACAACGCGUGACAGAUGAUGAUAUGUUUUCAUGGAAAGAAAAUCCAGACAUAUGGAAAGACUAUUUUCUGGACUUUUGAGACAAAGACUCAAUCCAGCUAGCUUUGUUGUGUGAAUAUAUUCUGUGCGACUGCUGACAUCACACAAUAACCAACAAGGAUAAUAAACAAAGUAAGAUGGUAA